GGGGCUGAUUUGGUUUCGACAUUUAAAAAUUAGUAAAAUAUGAGGCAGGUCGAAGUUUGUAUUCUUCGUUAAAACAUACAAAUUUAAAAUAAAUGCUAAUAAUAUAAUUCCUUUUAAGUUUCAAGCAAUUAAUACUUUUGAAAAUAAACUAAAUUUAAAUUUCGCUGUUUAAUUUUAGAAAUUAUUUUAUUCAUUAUAACUAGACGUUAGUUUCUUUUAUAGUUUAGAAUUAUUUUACUUAUUACUUAUUGUUCAAUUUUUUGAACUAAACCUGUGAAAGAGUAUUUUAAUGAGAUUUAAAUGGACAUGGGUUCAAUUCCCAUCAGCUCCA
rnacentral:tmRNA from 1 species